rnacentral:rRNA from 1 species
AUACGUAGGUGGCGAGCGUUGUCCGGAAUUAUUGGGCAUAAAGCGCGCGCAGGCGGGAAAGUAAGUCUACUCUAAAAGUGCGGGGCUCAACCCCGUGAUGGGGUGGAAACUGCUUUUCUUGAGUGCCGGAGAGGAAAGUGGAAUUCCCAGUGUAGCGGUGAAAUGCGUAGAUAUUGGGAGGAACACCAGUGGCGAAGGCGACUUUCUGGACGGUGUCUGACGCUGAGGCGCGAAAGCCAGGGGAGC